UCGCCUGUUUAAACAAAAACAUAGCUAAAUUUCUUUUAGUCUAACUGCCCAGUGAUUUUCUUUUAACGGCUUUAAUGUAGCAUUAUAAUUUGUUUGUUAAUUUCAUUCUGGAUGAACGUUGACACUUAAAAAUAAUUGUCUCAAAAUUAAGUUAAAAUUUUAUUUUUAAGUGAAAAAGCUUAAAUUGAUUUUAUAGACGAUAAGACCCUGGGACCUUAAGAAUUUUUAUUGGGGCGAUACUUUUUAACUUCUAAAAAAAAAUAUUCUUUUUUUGAACCAUAAUUUGUUUUCAGAUCUAGGUACCCCAGGGAUAACAGCAUUAUUUAAAUUUAAAGUACAAAUUAAAAUUAUAAAAAUGACCUCGAUGUUGAAUUAAGGAUCUAUAAAUUGAAGAAGAUUUUAUAGAUAGGUCUGUUCGCCCUUAUAACCUUACAUGAUUUGAGUUAAGACCGACGUAAGCCAGGUUGGGUUUCUAU
rnacentral:rRNA from 1 species